AGGUGGCAAGCGUUGUUCGGAAUCAUUGGGCGUAAAGGGCAUGUAGGUUGUUUUACAAGUGUGAGUUGAAAUACCGAAGCUUAACUUCGUGUAUGGCUUGCAAACUGUAAGACUGGAGUGUAGAAGUGGAGACUGGAAUUCCGCGUGUAGGGGUGAAAUCUGUAGAUAUGCGGAAGAAUACCUGUGGCGAAGGCGAGUCUCUGGUCUAUAACUGACACUGAAAUGCGAAAGUGUGGGGAGCAAACAGGAUUAGAUACCCUGGUAGUCCACACUGUAAACGUUGUACACUAGGCGUUAGAGGUAUCGACCCCUCUAGUGCCGCAGCAAACGCGAUAAGUGUACCGCCUGGGGAGUAUGCUCGCAAGGGUGAAACUCAAAGGAAUUGACGGGGGCCCGCACAAGCGGUGGAGCAUGUGGUUUAAUUCGAUGAUACGCGAAAAACCUUACCAGGGUUUGACAUCUAUCUGACUGGAGUAGAGAUAUUCCGUUCCUUUUGGACAGGUAGACAGGUGCUGCAUGGCUGUCGUCAGCUCGUGUUGUGAGAUGUUGGGUUAAGUCCCAUAACGAGCGCAACCCUUAUCAUUAGUUGCCAUCAGGUCAAGCUGGGAACUCUAAUGAAACUGCCUACGCAAGUAGUGAGGAAGGUGGGGAUGACGUCAAAUCAGCACGGCCCUUAUGUCCAGGGCGACACACGUGCUACAAUGGCCAGUACAGAGGGUUGCUACCUGGUGACAGGAUGCUAAUCUCGAAAGCUGGUCUCAGUUCGGAUCGAAGUCUGCAACUCGACUUCGUGAAGUUGGAUUCGCUAGUAAUCGCGCAUCAGCCAUGGCGCGGUGAAUACGUUCCCGGGCCUUGUACACACCGCCCGU
rnacentral:rRNA from 1 species